AACAUCAUCGUCUAGUGGUUUAGGAUACCAUAUUUUCAUUUCUAUAGAAAAUCUCUGCGGGCCGGAGUUCGAACCUCCAUGAUGUCU